UCCAUGUUCAUCUUCAGUGCUCACCCUUCAGACUCAUAGAAUGUCCAGGGGGAAGAGACCUCAACGUGUUAGACCUGGAAUAUUCAGUGAAUAAUAGAAGAGUCAGUUGGGGGAGAACCUUGAGAAGGUGGCAAGUCCUUCCCACUGUGUGCAGGCAGACUCAUCUGUAGGCUCCAUCUCUUAGGAAACUUUGAGACCUUCUUUGAGACCCCUGACCUCCUUCUCAGUUCCUGGAUGCUUCUAGGACAACCAUGUUUCCUUCCACGCUUACCACCAGACUUUCUCCAUUACCCCCUGCUCCUCAUUAGACCAUAGUCCUGGGGAGGCCAGAUCAAGUGUUUUAUAGCCACAUCGCCAAUGAAUGACCUGCCCAGUUCUUGGCACAGAGCAGGUAGUGAAAAAAAUAGGGGCAGAUGAAAAACACAUGAAUGGAUGAACAAAUGAGUCAAGGCCACCAUAUUGGGUUCAUUUGCCACUUGCUGGCACAGGGACCUCGGGAUUUGUCCUCGGACCAGGUGUGGGGUUUGUUGGGCCUCUGAACGCCUUCCUGCCCACAUCUCCCUGCCUCGGCGUAGACCUCACCGCCCCCGCCUGGAUCCUGCCACCGAUCGUCUCUCCACAGACUCUCGGCCACAUUCUUCCACAUUCCGGGCCGUGGCUAGGCCAGUCCUGCAACGCUCAUCUUAUUUGUGACUCUGCAGCCGAAAACCCUCUGGUGGUGCCUUGAUGCCUUCAGGGUGAGGCCCAAGCCGCCAGCCGCCAUGCUGGUCUCCACGGGACUGGGUCCUUGCUGACCUCACCGGCUUCUUCCAUCUCCGCCGCGGCCGACAGGCUUCUCAGCUUUUAGGGACAGGUCUCCCUCCUCUCAGAAUGGCACCACCCGGACCCCCUUCCAGCUCCCACCACCCCACAGUGAGCCGACGCAGUGUAUUUAUUUAGUGAGUCAGCUCCAAAGAUCUCCUCUUGGAAGCCUCUCCUCACACAGCACAGGCAGACAGACCACAUCCUGCAUUUGUUAUCUUCCAAUAGACUUUGAUCACUGCCACUGCAUCUGGACAAUUAGUUGUUAGUCACUUCUUACAAUCUGCCGCCAUCUUGACAAGGGGAACAUGCGAGUAAAAAUUACAA